GUAGGUGGCAAGCGUUAUCCGGAAUUAUUGGGCGUAAAGCGCGCGCAGGCGGUUUCUUAAGUCUGAUGUGAAAGCCCACGGCUCAACCGUGGAGGGUCAUUGGAAACUGGGGAACUUGAGUGCAGAAGAGAAAAGCGGAAUUCCACGUGUAGCGGUGAAAUGCGUAGAGAUGUGGAGGAACACCAGUGGCGAAGGCGGCUUUUUAGGUCUGUAACUGACGCUGAGGCGCGAAAGCGUGGGGAGCAAACAGGGAUUAGAUACCCUGGUAGUCCACGCCGUAAACGAUGAGUGCUAAGUGUUAGAGGGUUUCCGCCCUUUAGUGCUGCAGCUAACGCAUUAAGCACUCCGCCUGGGGAGUACGGUCGCAAGACUG
rnacentral:rRNA from 1 species